rnacentral:rRNA from 1 species
UACGGUCAAGUCACGCUGAAACACCGGUUCUCGUUCGAUCACCGAAGUUAAGCAUCGUAGAGCCAGGUCAGUAUUUAGAUGGGGGACCGCUUGGGAACACCUGGUACUGUAAG